ensembl:lncRNA
CUGUGAAAAACCGACUGCUUUUUCAUUUCAUUCGAAGGGAUCUGACGGGCAUGGCAGUAAUGGUGCUGAUGAAUGCCAGAAUAAACGGACGGCAGGAGACAAGACAAAGACGAAGAUGAAUGUGUCUGAAAGGGAGAAUGAGGAUCAACGCCUCGGUGUCAACGAGGAGGGAUUCAACACUUUCUGACUGCGGACUUACAAGUAUCAGUUCGGCGUGCUGACUUUUUUUUUUUUUUUUAUAUGAGUCUGACAAAGAGACAAACGUUUGAACCUCCUUUUUACUCUCUGCACAGUCCUGAUCGCAGACUUGAAGCCGGCUCGUCAGGGAUAACAGAUGAGCGUAGAUGAGCAGUGUCAGUUUUGCCCACAGGAAGAGACCACGCAUGUGACUGGAGCUGCGUGACAAGUUGCCAUGUUGUGAAAUCCCA